rfam:Schistosoma rodhaini strain Burundi genome assembly, scaffold: SROB_scaffold0000482
AUCCAGCUGACGAGCCUCAAAUGGAAUGAAACGCACGUCCUGUAU